rnacentral:lncRNA from 1 species
UUCGAGGACAGCCAAAGCUACAUAGUGAGAUUCUGUCUCAAAAAACAGAACAAAACAAAACAAACCAAGCAGGGUUUUAUAUAUAGUUCUUGUUUUCCUUAAACUUUGAAUUCUCCUGUAGUUUGACUCAGGGCCUGGCAUAUGCUAGGCAAGUAUUCUAUCCCUGAGCUAUACCCAGGACCUAAUAUAUUUGUGUAUGUAUUUUUGAGACAGGAGUCUGAUUGCACAGCUCAGGGCGUCCUGGAACUCAGGCUGUAUCAUUCUAUUUAUGACAUAGCAUAUAUUCAUUUUUUCCCCUCUUCCUGCUUUUCAACUUAUUUUAUUUUGUGUUAUUUUAAGAUGGAAUUUCCCUACGUUGACCAGGCUGGUCUACUCCUGAGCUCGAUGAUGGUCUUGCCUCAGCUUCUGGGGUGCCAGGACUACAAAUGUGUCAUACACACCAAGUGCUAACCACAACAGGGUGCCCUCUGUUUUGGCUAGCCACUAUUUUUUUAUUUGUAUUUUUUUUUUAAAUUGGAAAAAAAGAGACUUUAUUAAAAUUGUGUAUAUGUGUGGGUAUAUGGAUGCCUGCAAAGGCCAGAAGAGGGCACAGCAUCCCUGGAGCUGUAGUGACCCAUGGUUGUGAGCUGCCCUUAGUAGAUGGUGGGAACUGAACUCUUGUACUGCAAGAGCAUCUGGUGUUACCUGCUAAACUAUCUCUCCAGC